UACGUAGGUGUCAAGCGUUGUCCGGAUUUAUUGGGCGUAAAGCGCCCGCAGGCGGCUUGCCAAGUUCGAUGUGAAAUCUCCCGGCUCAACUGGGAGGGUGCAUCGAAAACUGGCAGGCUUGAGGCAGGGAGAGGGAUGUGGAAUUCCAGGUGUAGUGGUGAAAUGCGUAGAUAUCAAGUGGAACACCAGUGGCGAAGGCGAGUCUCUGGACAUUUCCUGACGCUGAGGCACGAAAGCCAGGGGAGCAAACGGG
rnacentral:rRNA from 1 species